UAAAUAAAAUUAUAUUAACAAAAAUUAUUUUAGUUGUAGUAAUUAAUUAAAAAUAAUAAUUUAAAUUAUAAUAAUUAAGUAAUGUGAAUGAAUAAAAGUAAAAAAUUUUUAUAUAGUAAUUUUAUUUUAUUGUACCUUUUGUAUCAGGGUUUAUUUAAAAUUUAUUUUUAAAAUUAAAAUUUUUCGAAGAAAAUAGAGUUAAAUAAUUAUAAAAUUUAAUGUUUAAUUAUUAUUUUUAAUAUUUAUUUAGAGAAGAUAUUUUAAUCAAUUUUUUGGAUAUCUAGUUUUUUUUGAUAUAAAUUUAAUUUAAUAUAUAUUUAUUUUAAUUAUAAUAAUUAUUUAAUAUUAUAUUAUUAUAAUUUAAUUUAUAUAAAAAAUUUAUGGGAUAAUCUAUAAAUUAUUUUAAAAUUAAUUUUAUUUAUUUUUGUUAUAUAACAAUAAAUAUUAAAAUUAAAAAUAUUUUUAAAAUUGAAAUUUUUUUGAAAAAAUUUAAUAAUUUAUAAUAAAUAAAUUAAUUUUUAAUUAUUUAAUAAAAAUAUUUAAUUUUUUAAAAAAAUAUUUUUAAUAAUUAUUAAUAUUAAAAAAUAAUGAUAAAAUUAGUAUUAAAUUUAUGAUAUAUUAUUAAAUUAAACUUUAAUAUUAAUAUUUAUAAAUAUAAAAAUAUAAAUUAAAUAUUUUUUUGAAGAAUUAGGCAAAUUAAAUUUAUUAUAUUAAAUAUAAAUAAUAUAAUUAAAUUCACCUGUUUAAUAAAAACAUGGUUUUAAGAUAUUAUAAUUUAAGAUUUGUUCUGCUCAAUGAUAUUUAAAAUUAAAUAGCUGCAGUAAUUUGACUGUACUAAGGUAGCAUAAUAAAUUGUCUUUUAAUUAAAGGCUUGAAUGAAGGAAUGGAUGAAAUUUAAACUAUUUUAGAAUUAUAAUAUGAAUUUAUAUUUUAAGUUAAAAUUCUUAAAUAAAAUUAUGGGACGAUAAGACCCUAUAGAAUUUUAUAUAAUUUUAAAAUUAUUUUUAUAAUAAAUAUAUAUUUAAAAUUAUAUUUUAUUGGGAGGAUAGUAAAAUUUAAUAAACUUUUAUAUUAAAUGAAAAAUAAUAUUUUAUUUUAAUAAAUAAUUUUUUUAAUAUUAAAUUAAAAUUUAAUUAAAUAUUAUGAAUAUAUAUAUUAAUUUUAUAAACAUUAAUUGAUGAUUAUUAAUAUUUUGAAUAAAUAAUAAAAUUAUUUUUAAUUAGAAUUAAUUACCUUAGGGAUAACAGCGUAAUAUUUUUUUUAAGUUCUUAUUGAAAGAAAUGUUUGCGACCUCGAUGUUGAAUUAAAAUAAAGAUUAAAUGAAGAAGUUUAAUUAUUGAGUCUGUUCGACUAUUUAAAUUUUACAUGAUUUGAGUUUAGAUCGGUGUGAGCCAGAUCGGUUUUUAUCUAUAAUUUAUUUAAAAUAAUUUUGUACGAAAGGACUUUUUAUUUAAAAUAAUUUUUAUUGAAUUGAAUUAAUUAAAAUUACAAAGGUUUGAAUAAAAA
rnacentral:rRNA from 1 species